AGAAUGUGCCUCAAUUGCACUAAUUCUUGUCCAAUACAGGCCACAAGAUAAAGAUGGGAACUUCUCAAUAACCCUCUUUUAGCCAGAGACAUUCUUGGUAAUAAUGAGAUAUUCAAGAUUAUUCUCAUCGAUUGUCUCAAUAUGAUAUCCAUUUCGACGGAUAUCUUUAAAAUUCAACAAGUUCUUCUUGGACUUGGAGGAGAACAUUGCAUUUUCUAUGAUAAAUAUUGUUCACUUAGGGAAAGUUAUAGUAGCUCUUCCAGAGCCUUCAAUUAAUUUACUACUGCCAGAAAUUGUAGUAACAUCNNNNNNNNNNNNNNNNNNNNNNNNNNNNNNNNNNNNNNNNNNNNNNNNNNNNNNNNNNNNNNNNNNNNNNNNNNNNGUAGUAACAUCUGCCUUACACAUACUUAAAUGAGAGAAAUAUUUCUUCUCUUUGAAUAUUGUAUGUGUGGUACAUGAAUCAAUUAAACAAUAUUUUACAAUUGAGCUUUGAUCCAAGUUUGCUUUAUGGGAUAUCCAUAUUUGCUUCUCAUUGUUUGACAUACAAAAAAAAUAUAUAAAUAAACAUUAGUAUUUGGGAAGAAAAUAAAGUUAACCCAGUGAUUCAAUAAUAAUCUUUUAAUGUAAUUUCAAACAAACUCUCAUUAGGAUACAAAUAAUUAUGUUACUAUGUAAUAUUGUAAUUGAUUGGAUGAAUUUAAAUGGACAUGAGAGUGCAAAAGCAAUUUUGACCGUAGCUAAUAUAUUGUUAAAUCCAAUGUAAAUCAUAAUACUAUCAUCACAAAAAAUUUAAUGUGUUACUUAACAUUACUAUUAUUUUGAUGAACCAACAAAUUAACGGCUACCUAAUAGCUUUCCGUGACAUGGAAUAAAUAAGAAAUACUCCUAGCUGCAAUAAAAUAAUAUAGAAGAAGAUAAAUUCCAGCCUAUCUCGUUACAGAAGAAUAAGAGAAUAAAGUGCUCAUGCAUUUAUACUCCUUUAUCAACACAUACUGCCAAACUCUACAUUAAUCUGUAACAGUAACUUACACCCAGAAUCAAACAUGAAUAAGCACAAUUCAACAUGUAUCCCACUACACUGAUUUAUUUGCUUCAAAAAUAAAAUAAAAAUUGACAACUUAUUACAGAAAAUUCAAACUGUAUCAUGUAUGUAAAUAGCAAGCCAAUCAAACAGCUGGAGAAAAAAUCAGUUUCAAGAGCUAAUUCCACAGUGUAAUUCAUAUUAAGCUAUAAAUUUACCUCGAGAUACUCAAAAUUCACAAAUACAUAUUCGCACAUACCUGACGAGCGUGAAGGUUGGAGAAGGAGAAAUAGAGUCGUUGGCCUGAUUCUCAUAAAACAAAGACGCCGACCUUAAUCUUCUCAAAGAGCUUCUUGAGAUGGUAGAGUCUCGUGCUGAUAACAUAUUAUAAAACAAUAAAAGAAGAAGAGCAAUAUUGUAGAGAAAGAGAGAAAGAAUUCUUAUUGAAUUUUGGGAUGAUUUAUAAUGGGAUAAGAAUCCUCUAUUUAUAGGAGAAAAAAUGACUUAAUCUCAAAGUAAAACUCUCUACAAGAUAGAUAUUCAUUCCAAAUAAAAUUCUAUUCUUAACAAAAAGAGAAUUUUAUAUAGGUUAAUAAGCACAAAUAACGGCUGAAACGCCACUGACAAAGAUAUGGUGCUUGCCAAUAAGUUUAUAUAGAUUAAUAUUUUGUUGGACCAAUGAGAAAUGAACUGAAGCAUUGAUCUUGGAAAUAACAUAUCAACAGAAGUUAUGUACUUAAACAAAUUACAAUACCGACACUCUUUUCCCUCAGGAGAAAGUUGCUUAAUCACUCACCUACAGCCAAUCAGAUCAAUUUUGCCAUUGCGUAGCCUUUGGUAUAAAAUAAAUAGGAAAAAUACAUAAGUUACCUCAUGUAAUUAUCUGAAAAAAUUAGUUGUAUACUUAACCUUUGCGGGCGAUCAAUAUACCUUCUUGCUGCAUGCAAAGGUGUAGCCUAACGGUUAAUAUAGUGAGUGAAAAGCAAAACCAUAAGACGUCAUUGUUAAAAUUAAUAUUGAGACAAAAAAAUCACUAAAUGAUAUCUUCUCAUUUGCCUAAGUUUUUUGUGGGAAACUUGUGUUGGUGGAAGAUAGUAAGUAUAUGUGUCCCUUAAAAGUAAUUAAAUUACCUUCUCGUCCGACACAUAAGCAUCAAUAGUAGAAACAAAAUGAAAAUGAAUAUCAUAGUUCUUGGUCAAAAGCAAGCAAAUUUAAACAAAUUUAAAGAUUUUUGUCAAGGUCAUAUCGAUAACUUGGUUAGAUCGAUGACUUUUAGUUUAAAAAACCUAAAUGCGAUACAAUCAAAGAAUGAUCAUUCAAUUAUCUUUUGAGUAACAUGGGGUAGUUUUAACGUUGUAGCUAAAUUAUGAAUUGAUUUAAGAUUGGUCAGAAAGAUGGAAAUAAUAUUUAAUUCUUUGACUGUGAUGAGAAGAAUAUAAGAUUAAGUUUGUUGGUGAAAGAUAUAUGCCAACUAAAACUAGGUUUUUAAAUGUUUGUGAAACUCAUAAUGUUACCUUUUAGUUUCAAAUCAUUGUAGAUGUAAUCAAAAGAAUUCAGCUAUCUUCAUAUUUUUCUAAAAUAAUACAUAGUCAAACAACUUAUAAGAUAUUACAAUCAUCUAUGUUAAUGUUGUGCCAAAAUGGCAAAAGAUUAGUGAAAUGCUAUAUACAGACUUACAGAGUAGAUUAACUAGCCAAGUAAGCAGGGUUGUGAAUCUUAACUGUGGUUAAGCAAAUCAGCGGAAAUUGAGAGAAAAAAAUGAAGAAUUUCGAAUCUAAAAAUAAAAAGAGAUUUUUUUCCCCAACGACAAAGGAACUUACGGGCGGGGCAUUUUCGGGGACUAGCCCGCUUCCCAUUACUCAAUAGGGCAAUUCCUCGCACAUAAUUAAGGGAGCCAUUGAAAGGUGACUAAAACACCAGAAACGGGGACUACCCGAGCUAAUGAUAGAGGCAAGAACACUUUCCGGCCAAGUCCCAUUAAUUAAUUCCUCGCACAUAACGACAAAGGAACUUACGGGCGGGGCAUUUUCGGGGACUAGCCCGCUUCCCAUUACUCAAUAGGGCAAUUCCUCGCACAUAAUUAAGGGAGCCAUUGAAAGGUGACUAAAACACCAUAUACAACUAUGUUGGGAUCGAAAUAACAUGGUGCAUACGGAAACUAACACUACAAAGCUUGGUGGAUGAUAAAUCAGACGACCAAAGAAAAAUAUACUAAUAAUUGUUUAUAAUUGUUUGAUCAAUUGAUCUAUAUAUGAUAAAACUAAUAUAAAAGAAGAAAAAUUAUCGAGAGAAAAAUCUCCCCCUAAACAAAACUCUUUAAU
rnacentral:lncRNA from 1 species